CCUACGGGUGGCAGCAGUGGGGAAUAUUGGGCAAUGGGCGCAAGCCUGACCCAGCAACGCCGCGUGAAGGAAGAAGGCUUUCGGGUUGUAAAACUCUUUUAAGAGGGAAGAGCAGAAGACGGUACCUCUUGAAUAAGCCACGCCUUACUACGUGCCAGCAGCCGCGGUAAUACGUGGGUGGCAAGCGGUGUCCGGAUUUACUGGGUGUACAGGGCGUGCAGCCGGGAAGGCAAGUCAGAUGUGAAAGCCCGCGGCUCAACCGCGGAACUGCAUUUGAAACUGGUUUUCUUGAGUACCGGAGAGGUCAGCGGAAUUCCUUGUGUAGCGGUGAAAUGCGUAGAUAUAAGGAAGAACACCAGUGGCGAAGGCGGAUGACUGGACGGCAACUGACGGUGAGGCGCGAAAGCGUGGGGAGCAAACAGGAUUAGAUACCCCUGUAGUC
rnacentral:rRNA from 1 species